AGGAUGCAUAAUAUGCCUUGGGAUAGAAGGCAUUGCUAUUUGCAAAUGAGCCGUUAAGUGGAAAGACGACUCAAUCUGGAAACAACAUUUUGCAGAUCCACUAUGACUACUGUUGGUUCACUGUAGAACACUCAAAACAUUUAAUUGAAAAACACCAUUGUGUUAUAAAAUAUUGCAGAAAAAUCAGUACAAUAUUCAUUUACUUACAUUUAAAUACGGCAAAUAUAUGCAUUGUAGUGAAUACAUGGAAGACAUAAACAAUGCAGUAAUUGAACUGCAAUAACUAGUCAAUUUCAUUCUCUACGUGCAUUUCAUAUGUUCAUGAAAAUAUUUUACCGAUCAUUUCCAUUUCUGUCUCAUUUGAUUC
rnacentral:lncRNA from 1 species